UAGAUGCGAGAGUAGAGCAUAUCAAUAAGCGGAGGAAAAGAAACUAACAAGGAUUCCCCUAGUAACGGCGAGUGAAGCGGGAAGAGCUCAAAUUUGAAAUCUUAAAGGGUUUCCCUUUACGAAUUGUAGUUUAAAGAAGUGUUUUUUGUUGGAGUUUCGGUAAAGGUUCUUUGGAAUAGGACAUCAUAGAGGGUGAGAAUCCCGUAUUUGACCGUUACCUUCCAGCUGUGUGAUACACUUUCAAAGAGUCGGAUUGUUUGGGAAUGCAGUCCAAAAUGGGUGGUAAAUUUCAUCUAAAGCUAAAUAUUGGCGAGAGACCGAUAGCGAACAAGUACCGUGAGGGAAAGAUGAAAAGAACUUUGAAAAGAGAGUUAAACAGUACGUGAAAUUGUCAAAAGGGAAGCGUUUGACACCAGUGUUGUUUAGUUGAAAAUCAAUUCAAUAAUUUUUGAUUUUGAGUAGUAUUGACUUCAUCAGCUUGCUGCUUUCUUUUCAGAAAUUAUUGAAUGCACUUUUCAGUUAACAAGUCAACAUCAAUUUCUUUUGUUGUAAAAGGGUAAGAGGAAGGUGGCUUACGCUUCGGCGUAAGUGUUUAUAGCCUUUUACCUCUGCAAUCGGAGAGAUUGAGGACAGCAGCGUAGACUCUUCGGGGUUAGAUACACUUGUGCUGAGCUAUAGCCUUGUAUAGACAACUUGUUGACUAUGCUCAGUCAUGUAGCUUACUCGUUUGUGCUAUUUUACCUACGCUUAGGAUGUUGACACACGCGCGUGCUCG
rnacentral:rRNA from 1 species